rnacentral:rRNA from 1 species
CAUGUAGGCGGCCCAUCAAGUGCCUUGUGAAAUCCCCCGGCUCAACCGGGGAACUGCUUGGCAUACUGUUCGGGCUUGAGGUAGGUAGGGGCGCGUGGAACUCUUGGUGGAGCGGUGGAAUGCGUAGAUAUCAAGAGGAACGCCGGUGGCGAAAGCGACGCGCUGGGCCUGUCCUGACGCUGAGAUGCGAAAGCCAGGGGAGCAAACGGGAUUAGAUACCCCGGUAGUCCUGGCCCUAAACGAUGUCUACUAGGUCGGAGUCACUCUGACGUGCUUCUGGCCGAAACAAAAGCGUUAAGUAGACCGCCUGGGGAGUACGGUCGCAAGGCUAAA